UGUUUCUGUGACUUCUUUUAUCUCCUUUGAAGCUUGAGGUGGUUAUAAACCGGUUGCCCUCCUGGCAUGCAGAGAGCAAUGCAAAGGAUCUGGAACAGUGGUGAGCAUCUCACUGCCAUUCAAAGUCAUUUAUUUACAUUAGCAUGGUUGAUUCUGUGAGGUACAGCAGAGUAUAGCAGGUUAGGCUGCUGCCUUUCUCCUGCACUAUUAUUUUUGCAAAUGAUAAAUAUAAGGAAGGAGGCAGCAGAAGAUGUGACACUGUGCUUUGUCUCCCACAAUGGCACUUUGACACUUUUUGUCUGGAAAAUGGAGUGAAGGUCCAAUGGACUAUUUUCAUCAUAACAGAGUGAAUGCUUGUCCAGUGGAGUCCUGCUUGUAUGCAGACAGACAAGAUGUAAGAAACGUGAAAACAUGAACCAAGCUAAAAAGCUAUGGCCCAUAAAGAAAAUCAUCUGCGGUAGCGUAAGAGGAGCUCCUAUCCUGAGACCUCAGUGCUGCAGAAGGAAAUGUUGUCCAUACUACUGGAAGCUGGCUCCAAUUACCAGCCUUUAAUUGAGAAGCAUGAAGAUGCUGAGAUACUAUCAUCCUACAGACACAUGGGUAUGAACUUGAAAUGCGAAACUUCAAUGGGAUGGUUCACAUGCCUGAAGUUCAGUUUGUGUACAACUUCCUGCCGGAAGACUGGUCAUAAAAUUUCUGAGUACUUCAACGAUUUAGGGGGCAAUGGGCAACAGAGGAUUAGGACACAGUAUGUGUGAACACAUAAGAAAAUAGAACAAAACAGCUUCAUCAAUAAGACAAUAAAAAUGCUUCAAUAUGUUGUUUAUCCCAUCAUCUCUUGGCUCUGUUAACUGUUACCAUCUCAGUGACACUGAAGCCUUUUUUAAUGAUAAGCUUCAGAAAGUUUAUAAAGCAAACAUCAGGCUAGUAGAACAGUACACAAUGUUUUCCCUGCCUUGACCUGAGUAGUGAGUAGGCAUUUAGUACUUAGUUAACUCACACAACUGAGAACUUUUAUAAGAAAAUGAUCUGCCCAGAGAGGUUGUGGAUGCCCCAUCCUUAGAGGUGUUCAAGGCCAGAAUGGAUGGGGCCCUGGGUAGCCUGGUCUAGUAUUAAAUGUGGAGGUUAGUGGCCCUGCCUGUGGCAGGGAGUUUGGAGAUUCAGAAUCCUUGGGGUCCAUUCCAGUCCUGGCCAUUCUGUGAUCUAAAGCUUUUUAAUGAAUCCUCUCUGUCAGUAAACAGUCCCAAGUGUUACGGUUGAUAUCAAGGAGCUCUAAGUAGUUUGAAAAGUGUUAAUAAAACACUUAAAAAAAAAAAAAAAAAAUCAAAAACAAACAAAAACUUCCUGAUGUAUCAUCUGCUAGAACAGGUAUACAGCAGUCUUUACUUGGCCUUUACUUGGCCACAUCCUUUGUCUGUAAAGGGACAAUAGGAAAUGCUGAAAACAUGUAUUCAGUUCUGUGCAAAGGAUGAAGCCCAGGCAGGCAGUAGCACUAUGAGGAAAGAACACUUUAUUCAUGUUAGAGACAGGUAGAAAAUUCCAUGUUUGUUUAGUUGAACAUAGGUGAGAAGGAAGCAUUUCUCCUGUCAGUCUACUGUGUGAUAUGCCAGAGGCUGUAGCUGUGGAAGAGUCUUCAUUCAAAAACCUGAUGUUUGGAACAAAACAGGAAAUGUCUCAAAGACCUUCCAGGUUUCUCAUGUGUUAACAAGUGUAAUAAUUCAUAAAACAUUGUGUUGUCUCAAAUAAAUGAAUGUAGUUUUAUGCGGUCAAUAGAUAAGAGGUUUAUAUUUGUUAAGCAAAAUAAAACAGCAGCUGUUGCUUUUUUUCCCCAUUUUAGUUGUAUACAGUCUAAAAUAAAAUUCCAUUAUUUUAAGAAGGAUGUCCCAUCUCUAGAUAUUUUCAUUAUGUGUAACGAAUGAGCCAUAACAUUUCAUCCAGUAAUGUUAGAAAGAACUAUGACCCCUAAGCUGGAACUAUUUUUGGGUAAGACAUAUAAUUAAGCCUUAAAAUAAUGUAAAAACCAAACUCAGACAAGAACUUGGUAAAAAAAAAAAAAAGAAGUUAUACUCAUGAAGUCCAUGAAGUUAUACUUCAAGGACUUUAAAAUUUUGGCAGUCAUUAAUUUUUCUA